rnacentral:lncRNA from 1 species
CGUCCGAUCAUUAUAAUUACUUUCGUUCUCCCUCGGUGGCUUAGUGGUAUGUCGUUUGGCCUGUCUCGACAAACCUUUGAGUUCGAAUCGCGUCGACUUCAUAUUUUCAAUUUUUUUUCCUUUUAUUUCUAGCAAGCUGUUUUUAUUCUUUUUACAUCUUUAUAUGAGAAAUUGCUUUGCAAGUAGUUGGAAAUAUUGGUAUGUUGAACCUGGCUCAAAGAGAUCCAAUCAUUUCUAACAGUUAAUUCCGUUCGAUAUUAUUUGAGGUGUUUUAUUUCAACUCGCGUACUAUUUUUGGCUGUUUGAGAGAAGCUGCCAAAUAGUUUAAAGAGUCAAAUUGAAUGUGGUAUACCGUAUACUUUGGCUCAGAUACAACAUACAGUAUAAGCAAUAUACUAGAAGUUACUAUCGCAAGGAAAGUGCUGCCAUCAUGGCGUUCUAAGUUGCCGCGAACUGCCUAAAUUCUUCACCGCAAUUCACCGCCUAAUAAACUAUUUCACCGCAUAAGAUAAGCGCGUCACGACAAUUAGCUAUAGUGUUUAAUUUGACAUAAACUUUCGUUCUCCCUUGGUGGCUUAGUGGUAGGUCGUUUGGACUGUCUCGACAAACCUUUGAGUUCGAGUCGCGUCGAGUUCAUAUUUUUAAUAUUUUUUCCUUUUAUUUCUAUCCAGCUGUGUUUAUUCUUUUAACAUCUUUAUAUGAGAAAUCGCUUUGCAAGUAGUUGGAAAUAUUGGUAUGUUGAACCUAGCUCGAAGAGAUCCAAUCAUUUCUAACAGUUAAUUCCGUUCGAUAUUAUUUGAGGUGUUUUAUUUCAACUCGCGUACUAUUUUUGGCUGUUUGAGAGAAGCUGCCAAAUAGUUUAAAGAGUCAAAUUGAGUGUGGUAUACCGUAUACUUUGCCUCAAAUACAACAUACAACAUACAGUAUAAGCAAUAUACUAGAAGUUACUAUCGCAAGCAAAGUGCUGCCAUCAUGGCGUUCUAAGUUGCCGCGAACGGCCUAUAUUCUUCACCGCAAUUCACCGCCUAAUAAACUAUUGCACCGCAUAAGAUAAGCGCGUGACGACAAUUAGCUAUAGUGUUUAAUUUGACAUAAACUUUCGUUCUCCCUCGGUGGCUUAGUGGUAGGUCGUUUGGACUGUCUCGACAAACCUUUGAGUUCGAGUCGCGUCGAGUUCAUAUUUUCAAUAUUUUUUCCUUUUAUUUCUAUCCAGCUGUUUUUAUUCUUUUUACAUCUUCAUAUGAGAAAUCGCUUUGCAAGUAGUUGGAAAUAUUGGUAUGUUGAACCUGGCUCGAAGAGAUAUAAGACACAGUAUAAGCAAUAUACUAGAAGUUACUAUCGCAAGGAAAGUGCUGCCAUCAUGGCGUUCUAAGUUGCCGCGAACUGCCUAUAUUCUUCACCGCAAUUCACCGCCUAAUAAACUAUUUCACCGCAUAAGAUAAGCGCGUCACAACAAUCUACUAUUGUCUUUAAUUUCACAAAAAUUUCAGAUCGUCCCUGGUGGCUUAGUGGUAGGUCGUUUGGCCUAACUCGAUAAACGUUUGAGUUCAAAUCCAGUUGAACUCAUAUCAUAUUUUG